UUGAUCAACACAAAUAAUCGAGAAAAUUUUAAUAAUGAGUUUAGUAGUGCAACAGCCAAUAUGGUUGACCUGUUGACUUUGUUUACGUUUUGACGAGCCGCAGCUGUUCAGAUCAACUGAAUUUGGAAGGUGGAUGUGGUCUUUGGAAAUUGGAGUUCCACAUAUGUCCAAAAUUCCGACUGUUUUCCACAGAUAGACUGUUUCAGAAGAAGAGUUAAUUCCAAAGUGUUCAGAUACACUGACACAAUUCCCAGGGAUUGAUUCCGACUCAUCGAACGUCUCUAACUUGACGAUUACCAUCACUAUCGCAAAUCAAAACAAAACAAAAGUGUAGUUACAUCAAAAACUGAGAAAAGUUGACAAAAUUGAUGGCUUGGGUGUAAUUGCCACGACGCACCCACCCUUCCUUGGAUGCCCCAAAGCUAAUGUUGGAGGCACACCCCAUCUCCGGCAGACCGGAGUCUAUUCCUGGUGGAUUAGGAUCGGCUCAUCUCCCCGCCCAAGCAACACUUAAGGCCGAUCACAGAACGUCGCCCAGAUGAGAAGUUGAAGAAGAAUUUAGACGUUGUUGGUCGCGCGGCUAGGGUGCGGAAUUAAGCCUCUAAUUCCAGAUUAUAUGAGUAUUUGAAAAAAUGUUGAAAGUACGAUUUCAUUAAUUAAUAACUACAACUUAUUUAUUGCAGAGUUGAACGAUGGUUAUAGUCGAGCCUGGUCGAAGCUGCAGCAAGAAGAAAACACCGCUAGCGGCGAAAACCGGCGCGAGUGCGCACAGAGCCAAAUGGUCCGAAGGGUAGCUCGCGUUUGCGCCAGAGGAGCCGGAGACAGUGCGUCGGUGGUCCCAGAGAUGACCACGUAGUCAGCGCGGGUAUUCGUUCCCGGAACGGACUCAUCGAGGGAAUCUCCGUAUGUGGCCGCCUCGUAGGCAGUUGCUGGAGGCUGCCGAUGCUGCUGCUGCUGACGCUGCUGCUGCUGCCGAUGCUGCUGCUGAUGCUGCUGCGGCUGAUGCUGCUGCUGAUCGCUGCUGCUUCUGCGGCUGAUGCUACUGCUGAUGCUGAUCGCUGCUGCUUUUGCGGCUAAUGCUGCUGCUGAUGCUGAUCGCUGCUGCUUCUGCGGCUGAUGCUGCUGAUGAUGCUGAUCGCUGCUGCAGCUGGUGAACGACCAGGUUAGCUAAGUAUUUUGCCCUCCCGCGUCAUCCAAAUUUCCGGGGCCCUUUCGAAAGGGUCCCCGGCGGCUUUAAUAUUUUUAAAAACCACUGUUAUUUAUAAGUUUAUGACCAAUAAAUAACUACUCACUUCAA